rnacentral:pre_miRNA from 1 species
GGAAACUUGGAAACUAUAGUUGGAUCGAAAAAUGGACGUCCGAGAUUCGUCCACAUCACCAUGAGUAAAAUUUUUACUCAUGAGUGAAUUUGCUAGUAAAAUUUUUACUCGUGAUGAUGUGGAUAAAUCUUAGACGUCUAUUUUUUUUAAAAGAUCCGAUCCAAUGUUAGUUUUCAGGUUUUU